rnacentral:rRNA from 1 species
GGUUAAGCGACUAAGCGUACACGGUGGAUGCCCUGGCAGUCAGAGGCGAUGAAGGACGUGCUAAUCUGCGAUAAGCGUCGGUAAGGUGAUAUGAACCGUUAUAACCGGCGAUUUCCGAAUGGGGAAACCCAGUGUGAUUCGUCACACUAUCAUUAACUGAAUCCAUAGGUUAAUGAGGCGAACCGGGGGAACUGAAACAUCUAAGUACCCCGAGGAAAAGAAAUCAACCGAGAUUCCCCCAGUAGCGGCGAGCGAACGGGGAGCAGCCCAGAGCCUGAAUCAGUGUGUGUGUUAGUGGAAGCGUCUGGAAAGGCGCGCGAUACAGGGUGACAGCCCCGUACACAAAAAUGCACAUGCUGUGAGCUCGAUGAGUAGGGCGGGACACGUGGUAUCCUGUCUGAAUAUGGGGGGACCAUCCUCCAAGGCUAAAUACUCCUGACUGACCGAUAGUGAACCAGUACCGUGAGGGAAAGGCGAAAAGAACCCCGGCGAGGGGAGUGAAAAAGAACCUGAAACCGUGUACGUACAAGCAGUGGGAGCACGCUUAGGCGUGUGACUGCGUACCUUUUGUAUAAUGGGUCAGCGACUUAUAUUCUGUAGCAAGGUUAACCGAAUAGGGGAGCCGAAGGGAAACCGAGUCUUAACUGGGCGUUAAGUUGCAGGGUAUAGACCCGAAACCCGGUGAUCUAGCCAUGGGCAGGUUGAAGGUUGGGUAACACUAACUGGAGGACCGAACCGACUAAUGUUGAAAAAUUAGCGGAUGACUUGUGGCUGGGGGUGAAAGGCCAAUCAAACCGGGAGAUAGCUGGUUCUCCCCGAAAGCUAUUUAGGUAGCGCCUCGUGAAUUCAUCUCCGGGGGUAGAGCACUGUUUCGGCAAGGGGGUCAUCCCGACUUACCAACCCGAUGCAAACUGCGAAUACCGGAGAAUGUUAUCACGGGAGACACACGGCGGGUGCUAACGUCCGUCGUGAAGAGGGAAACAACCCAGACCGCCAGCUAAGGUCCCAAAGUCAUGGUUAAGUGGGAAACGAUGUGGGAAGGCCCAGACAGCCAGGAUGUUGGCUUAGAAGCAGCCAUCAUUUAAAGAAAGCGUAAUAGCUCACUGGUCGAGUCGGCCUGCGCGGAAGAUGUAACGGGGCUAAACCAUGCACCGAAGCUGCGGCAGCGACACUGUGUGUUGUUGGGUAGGGGAGCGUUCUGUAAGCCUGCGAAGGUGUGCUGUGAGGCAUGCUGGAGGUAUCAGAAGUGCGAAUGCUGACAUAAGUAACGAUAAAGCGGGUGAAAAGCCCGCUCGCCGGAAGACCAAGGGUUCCUGUCCAACGUUAAUCGGGGCAGGGUGAGUCGACCCCUAAGGCGAGGCCGAAAGGCGUAGUCGAUGGGAAACAGGUUAAUAUUCCUGUACUUGGUGUUACUGCGAAGGGGGGACGGAGAAGGCUAUGUUGGCCGGGCGACGGUUGUCCCGGUUUAAGCGUGUAGGCUGGUUUUCCAGGCAAAUCCGGAAAAUCAAGGCUGAGGCGUGAUGACGAGGCACUACGGUGCUGAAGCAACAAAUGCCCUGCUUCCAGGAAAAGCCUCUAAGCAUCAGGUAACAUCAAAUCGUACCCCAAACCGACACAGGUGGUCAGGUAGAGAAUACCAAGGCGCUUGAGAGAACUCGGGUGAAGGAACUAGGCAAAAUGGUGCCGUAACUUCGGGAGAAGGCACGCUGAUAUGUAGGUGAAGUCCCUCGCGGAUGGAGCUGAAAUCAGUCGAAGAUACCAGCUGGCUGCAACUGUUUAUUAAAAACACAGCACUGUGCAAACACGAAAGUGGACGUAUACGGUGUGACGCCUGCCCGGUGCCGGAAGGUUAAUUGAUGGGGUCAGCGCAAGCGAAGCUCUUGAUCGAAGCCCCGGUAAACGGCGGCCGUAACUAUAACGGUCCUAAGGUAGCGAAAUUCCUUGUCGGGUAAGUUCCGACCUGCACGAAUGGCGUAAUGAUGGCCAGGCUGUCUCCACCCGAGACUCAGUGAAAUUGAACUCGCUGUGAAGAUGCAGUGUACCCGCGGCAAGACGGAAAGACCCCGUGAACCUUUACUAUAGCUUGACACUGAACAUUGAGCCUUGAUGUGUAGGAUAGGUGGGAGGCUUUGAAGUGUGGACGCCAGUCUGCAUGGAGCCGACCUUGAAAUACCACCCUUUAAUGUUUGAUGUUCUAACGUUGACCCGUGAUCCGGGUUGCGGACAGUGUCUGGUGGGUAGUUUGACUGGGGCGGUCUCCUCCUAAAGAGUAACGGAGGAGCACGAAGGUUGGCUAAUCCUGGUCGGACAUCAGGAGGUUAGUGCAAUGGCAUAAGCCAGCUUGACUGCGAGCGUGACGGCGCGAGCAGGUGCGAAAGCAGGUCAUAGUGAUCCGGUGGUUCUGAAUGGAAGGGCCAUCGCUCAACGGAUAAAAGGUACUCCGGGGAUAACAGGCUGAUACCGCCCAAGAGUUCAUAUCGACGGCGGUGUUUGGCACCUCGAUGUCGGCUCAUCACAUCCUGGGGCUGAAGUAGGUCCCAAGGGUAUGGCUGUUCGCCAUUUAAAGUGGUACGCGAGCUGGGUUUAGAACGUCGUGAGACAGUUCGGUCCCUAUCUGCCGUGGGCGCUGGAGAACUGAGGGGGGCUGCUCCUAGUACGAGAGGACCGGAGUGGACGCAUCACUGGUGUUCGGGUUGUCAUGCCAAUGGCACUGCCCGGUAGCUAAAUGCGGAAGAGAUAAGUGCUGAAAGCAUCUAAGCACGAAACUUGCCCCGAGAUGAGUUCUCCCUGACUCCUUGAGAGUCCUGAAGGAACGUUGAAGACGACGACGUUGAUAGGCCGGGUGUGUAAGCGCAGCGAUGCGUUGAGCUAACCGGUACUAAUGAACCGUGAGGCUUAACCUUACAACGCCGAAGGUGUU